CUAGCUCUAAGUCCUCACGAAAAGAGCAAAGCGACAAUGAUUCAAGUAGUGACAAAGACUCGGAUGAUGAGGAAAUGGGACUGUUUGUAAGGAGAUACAAUAGAUUCAUUCGAAAGAAUGGAGUCAAGCAUUCCGACAAAAAUCUCAUGAAGUUUCGAAAACAAUCUACAAAUUCGAAACAAGAAGAGAACAAGAAGAGUAGAGGAAGAGGAUCAUGUUUUAAUUGUGGUAAAUCUGGACACUAUAAAACGGACUGCCCUAUGAAGUAUA
rnacentral:lncRNA from 1 species